AGUUUGACUGGGGCGGUCUCCUCCUAAAGAGUAACGGAGGAGCACGAAGGUUGGCUAAUCCUGGUCGGACAUCAGGAGGUUAGUGCAAUGGCAUAAGCCAGCUUGACUGCGAGCGUGACGGCGCGAGCAGGUGCGAAAGCAGGUCAUAGUGAUCCGGUGGUUCUGAAUGGAAGGGCCAUCGCUCAACGGAUAAAAGGUACUCCGGGGAUAACAGGCUGAUACCGCCCAAGAGUUCAUAUCGACGGCGGUGUUUGGCACCUCGAUGUCGGCUCAUCACAUCCUGGGGCUGAAGUAGGUCCCAAGGGUAUGGCUGUUCGCCAUUUAAAGUGGUACGCGAGCUGGGUUUAGAACGUCGUGAGACAGUUCGGUCCCUAUCUGCCGUGGGCGCUGGAGAAUUGAGGGGGGCUGCUCCUAGUACGAGAGGACCGGAGUGGACGCAUCACUGGUGUUCGGGUUGUCAUGCCAAUGGCAUUGCC
rnacentral:rRNA from 1 species